AAAAAUCUAGUUUAAAUAAAAACAUUAGUUUGUCAAACUAAAAAUAUAUAUAUGAUUUUUG
rnacentral:tRNA from 1 species